UUAGUACUCCCUCCGUCCCAAAAUUCUUGUCUUAGAUUUGUCUAGAUACGGAUGUAUCUAACACUAAAACGUAACUAGAUACAUUUGUAUCUAGACAAAUCUAAGACAAGAAUUUUGGGACGGAGGGAGUAUUAU
rnacentral:pre_miRNA from 1 species